AUACUCAUACAAAUGCUACUGGCAGAGGCAUUGUGCCUAUAGAAUUUCUUAGUAAUUUAGUAGUAGCAACAAAUGUUGGUGCAAUAAGUGGUUCAGGUCAAAGAAGUGAAGGACAAUCUAGCAACUCUAUGGCAGCAACAAAGGCUACAUACAUUAGUCCUUUUCACAAAGACUGUAGGCCAAAGACCAAGCCAAGGAAGCAAACUUUGCUUUCUGGACUAGGCCUUUAUAUCAAUCCCGACACAGGUCGAUCAAUUCUCAAUCCUGAAACUUCCAUGUCUAGGGUGAUCGAUCGUGGAAGUCAGAAUUCUAAAACGAAGAGGAAUGCAUCGAAGCCUGACUCGUAGAUGUUAUGACUACUGUUUGUUGUUGCCUCUUAUCAUAAUAUGACUGCUAUUGGUUCUUGAAUUUGUAUUAAAACUGAUCUGGAUUUGUAUUGGGAUAUGUUUAAGUUCAUGGAUUAUGUCUAGUUUGUAGUAUUCUGGUUAAUUAAAGCAUGUUAGUUAUCUGUUUGGUUU